UUCCUGCCUUUAUUAAUAUUAAUAGUUUAAGAGAUCUGAGGCUAUUCAUUUGUUCUUUGCUACUUUUGUUCACCUUACAACUCUUAAAGCAGCUGCAGGCAAAAGCCACAGGGAACAAUGGAGGGAGGCAGCAGGCACACAAAAAGGAGGCAGAGACAACAUGGCUGACCGAGAAACAAGGAAAAUAACCUUUUGAACUGCUGAGAGGACACAAAGCUAUAACCAAACUUACACAGUGGCAGCAACUGAUAGGGCUUUCCAUGCCAUCUCACUCUUAGGAUGCAGAUUUGUGCUCAGGGAGUUUGACAGAUUUUUGAGAAACUAUAUUGCUGUUUUCUAAACAUAUUUCUAACCCUUUUAUAGACAUACAGAAAUAUCUGAAGUGAAGGUAUGGAAAGGGGAUUAUUGUCAGUUGGCCUUCAUCAUCAUUCUCAGGAAAAUGUUUUAAGUGAUUGAAUGUGACUUUUGAAUUCAAUAUUUCAGAGAAGCAGAGAUCCAAAACUAUGUGUAACACCUGAGUUUAAUCUGGAAAUACAAACUGAUACCGUUGUUAAUUUGCUAUGGAAAUAAUCAACAAAGAAAUAAAUUGGAUUGUGUCACA